AUUGAACGCUGGCGGCAUGCCUUACACAUGCAAGUCGAACGGUAACAGGUCUUCGGAUGCUGACGAGUGGCGAACGGGUGCGUAAUACAUCGGAACGUGCCCGAUCGUGGGGGAUAACGAGGCGAAAGCUUUGCUAAUACCGCAUACGAUCUACGGAUGAAAGCGGGGGAUCUUCGGACCUCGCGCGGACGGAGCGGCCGAUGGCAGAUUAGGUAGUUGGUGGGAUAAAAGCUUACCAAGCCGACGAUCUGUAGCUGGUCUGAGAGGAUGAUCAGCCACACUGGGACUGAGUCACGGCCCAGACUCCUACGGGAGGCAGCAGUGGGGAAUUUUGGACAAUGGGCGAAAGCCUGAUCCAGCCAUGCCGCGUGCAGGAUGAAGGCCUUUGGGUUGUAAACUGCUUUUGUACGGAACGAAAAGCCUCUUUCUAAUAAAGAGGGGUCAUGACGGUACCGUAAGAAUAAGCACCGGCUAACUACGUG
rnacentral:rRNA from 1 species